CAUGCAAGUCGAACGGCAGCACGGAGCUUGCUCUGGUGGCGAGUGGCGAACGGGUGAGUAAAAUAUCGGAACGUACCCAGGAGUGGGGGAUAACGUAGCGAAAGUUACGCUAAUACCGCAUACGUCCUAAGGGAGAAAGUGGGGGAUCGCAAGACCUCAUGCUCGUGGAGCGGCCGAUAUCUGAUUAGCUAGUUGGUGGGGUAAAGGCCUACCAAGGCAUCGAUCAGUAGCUGGUCUGAGAGGACGACCAGCCAC
rnacentral:rRNA from 1 species